AGGAAAACUUAAAAAAGAAAGUCCCUUAUUAAAUGGCAAAAUCAAAAGCUCAAACACAUCUAACGAAUGUAUAAUAACUGUCAUAUUCGUGAGUUUGAACAGACAUCUCAUGUAGAAAAUGGCGGAUUAAACCUGGUUUUAUAGCUAGCUAAACCUCUCACUUGUAUCACAGUCGCAUCAAAUUCCAUUAUAUUGACAAUGAUGCUUGAACAAAUAGACAUAAUAGGUAAAAAUGUCAAAAAGAGGGGUACAACAGUCAACGAGUUAUAAACACAUUUUUUAUUAUAAAAUGAAUGUCUUAAAUAAUUGUUUUAUUUUCAUAUUGAGACAGCUUCCUUUUUUAUUUGAAGGAAUCAUUGACUAUUAUAUGUGAGAAAAUUCAUUCUAAUGAUAAUGCUUUAAAUGCAUGUGGAAUAAAAGAGGGACGAAAGAUACCAGAUUGACAGUCAAAGUCAUUGAUUGAAAAUAAGAUGACAACGCCAUGGUUAAAAUUAAAAAAACAGACACACAGACAAAUGAUAGUACAGAAUACAAAGCAUAGAAACUAAAAACUAAGUAACACGAACCCCACCAUAAACUGGAGAUGUCUCAGGUGCUCCGGAAGGGUAAACAUAUCCUGCUCCACAUGUGGCAGCC
rnacentral:lncRNA from 1 species